AUUUUUAAUUGACGCCGGCACCUUGCAAGCAUAAGCAGUUGGCAGAAGCUGGCAGAACCUUUAUUCUUCCUUCCAAGGUGCCAAGUACCAGGCACAUCCUCAAGGGGCCCGGUGGGGUUGUUUACCCCUGGCGCGCGGCCAGGAGCGAACCGGUUUCAUCAGGCCCCGAGCAGAGACGCCACGAGCGCUGGCUGGGGCGUCCGGCUUAAUCCUCCUGUUCUUUCGGAGCUGCCUUCCCAUGGCCGCUCCUAUUGUGAGCUCGUCUCUGCGCCCUCGCCCACGGCUUCUCCACCCUCCCCGGCCACACGCGCGCACGCACUCACACACACGCUCACACGCUCACACGUACAGAACCCUUAAUCCAGCAGGGGCAGGGAUUAGAGAGCUCCCCCACCUAGCUCGGGUGGAAACACUGCUUGCAAAGACAAAGAAAAGCAAAGCCUCAGUCUUGCUCCCGAGGGGCGACCAAAGACUACUGCCACACGUCGCCCCUGAUGCGGGUCUUACUCCAUGAUGGGGCCAGGGAAGGGCUGUGCCGCAGAGGCGCCCCUGACAUGCCCAUCGCCAAUCCUGGGUGACCCUCACCAACCGUGUUUGAUAUUGGGUAGAACAAAAGAAUAAUGAUUCAGGGAACAUUCCCACUGCAACUAAAAAGGCCACUACUCUUCCCGCCUUUGGAAUCUGCUGGUUCCUGUCCCUUUCUCUGUCUUCAUGAAAGCUGCUGGCUUUGCCACCAAAGUUAUUGCUAGCCUCAUUAAAAUGAGAUGUGUCCUGAAAUGGAUUCUAGAUUCACGAAGUUCUUCAGGAGCCUGAAGACACUGGCUGGGACGGGGCUGGAGCAGCUCCAGGGCACUUCACUCUUCACGAACGUCUUGGGGAUUUGGCCUAUUGUGAGAAUUGUGAGAUCCUGGUAAUACUAAAGCUCAUUUUAUAAGGUUGGCGGCCAUUUCUUUUGAACCAUCCAUCUCGUCCUUUAAAGCAAUGAGAAUGAUCGCUUUGAAAAAUGCCCUUUCAUGAAGAGAAGUGCAGUCAUGGAAAGCACCCAGAUAAAAUUCGGGAUCCCCCUUCUGCCUCAGCCCUGGAUGCGGGAGAGACUACAGCCUCAUGCUGAAGACUCUCUGAUUGACGCUCUGGUGGAGCAACUCGAGAAAAAAGACAGAAAAUGCACCUUAAUCCAUGACACCACCCUUUGCUUUGCCACUUGGGGUCCUGUGUCCAGCUUCAAUAUGGCAGCAGUGUGGCUGCAACCUACUUGCCCGCGUUCUCCUCAUGCCUGGGAACUGUGUUUUUCUCUCUGCCUCAUACUCCUGAGAUCAGUGGCUCCUGCUGACCAUCCAUGUAGGACUCCCCGGGGAAAGCAUUUUGUGGUGAGUUUUGUUUGGAGAAUGCUAUAUGUCAUUACCCCCUUCUUCAGAUUCCCAGUGAAUAUCGGAAGUUGCAAUAAAGACUGUUUUCGACAGUUGAUUUUAUUGUUUAUUACCACAGUACUAGCUCUGAAGGCCCAGGUCAUAUCCUGCAAGAGUAGGGCUUAUGGAAUUCCAGAAGCUUCUCUCCUCAGAGUCUCUCACCUCUAGCCUGAACUUUAAUUGUCCUGGGUUCAAGGCCAACCUC